UGCUCACGCACACUCUCUUCCUAAAGCAAAAAAAUAUAUAAACUAAAAUAAAAAUAUGCAUUUCUGUUCUGUCUCUUCUGAGGGGGCAGUUGUCUUUUGUUAAAGAGCUUGUGAUGCCCAGGAAAGUGAUGUCAUUUCAGCUGUCAGUCAAAUGUGGGGAUUUUAGAUAGGCAACGGGGUUUUUUGUUCUUUCAAGUCUGAAGAAAUCUAGAAACUUAAGUGAUUAUUUGAAGAUCCAGAACAGGAAAUUAAAUCGGAAUAAAGCCUGUUACAAACUAGACUGAUUAAAACUCUUCAGAUUUCUUCUAAAGAUCCCAAGCAUUAAUGCAUUGAGGAACCUGGAAAUCUGAUGUUGAAGUUCAAACAUUAGGUUUUCAUUUCCAUUACUUUUUCCCUCCAGAUGUUUGUUACUUUUUUUUUUUUUUAGCUUUUAGCCAUUUGUAAUUUAACACUUGCUUUGUUUAAACUGAAGUAGAACUUUGAUGUUUAGAAAGGAAUAUCCAAUAAUGCAUAUUGCAGAUAAUUGUAACUUUUUAUGGGAGUCAGAGGGAAAGAAAUGACUUUGAUAUAACAUCAAGAACUGCUAAUGGAGUGUGUGAAGGCAAAACCAUUUUCCCUUAGAGACCUUUUGUUAUAACAUGCGUUAAAAAAUGGAGAUGUUCCCUCUAAACCAAACAUGGUUCUUUGAUAUAUGUUCAGUAAUUUAAAUAUUAAUCUUCCAAUGCAUAUAAUGUGUUUAAAAUUAAUAAGCAGUGUUUGCUGAAACGAUCUCCUUUGCAAUGUUUUCUGAUAAACAUGGGAUACUUUGCAAACUCUCAUGGAACUCUUGGGGGGGGCGCGAGAAGUGGCUUAACUUUAUUAUUAUUUUUUUUAACUUUAUUUGGUUUUUUAAUAGCUGACUGCGAAACUCACUAACACAGCUAUUUAAAGUUGCAAGGUUAAAUAUGAAAAUACUAAGAAAUAAAUCAUACUCUGAAGGCAAGAAUUAGAUUUGUUCAUUCAUAGCUUGAUUCAAGAUCAAACUCCUUUCUUACUUUCGGAAUGUUGAAAUGCUGGUCUUAAUUGUUCCGCUAAAUGAGUCCUUAAAAACGAGGCUGAUAACCUGCCCUGUUUUGUCAUCUGCAUGGCCAACUGCUUACCAGAUCCUGACUGUUCAGGACUACACAACCAUUGACCUCAGGGUCUGCCACCCAGGUAUUACUGCCACAAUAUCACAAUAACUAUGGGACCUUAUCAAACUAUCAUCAAGGGAGGACAUAUUUUUGUCCCAUUUGUGAUUGAGUGGCAAAUUAUAGACAGGAACUAGUUCAGAUAAAUGUUCUAUUUCCCUGCACAAAAUUAGCAGCUCAAGAAGCCCUGUCUAAGACAAUUCUACUCUAAUUAAAUGUCAGGUAUUAUGGAAUUCAAGAUGAUAUGAAAUUAUAUGACGGUAAAGGUAUUUAAGACUUUAUCCAUACCGCCAUGCACAUAGUUAGCCAUGCUUUCCCAAAAUUGAGUAUUUAUGGAUGGGAGUAAAUUUUUCUAAAAUAUUAGAAGUUCUCAUGAUGUAUAGAAAUAAGUUUAUAUACAUUCUCAUGAUGUAUAUAAAUAUAUAUAAAUAAAUGCCACAUCCCUCUAUCCAAACACACACACACACACACACACACACACACACACACAUAUUUUUUACUAGGCAACAUAUGUAAAACUACUCCAUAUUUCAAGAUAAUAUUUCUGUUCGUUAUUUAAAAAAAUUUUUUUAACAUUUUAUUUAUUUUUGAGAGACCGAGAGAGACAGAGUGUGAGUGGGGGAGGGGCAGAGAGAGACACACACACAGAAUCUGAGGCAGGCUCCAGGCUCUGAGCUGUCAGCACACAGCCUGACAGGGGCCUUGAACUCAUAACUGAGAGAUCAUGACCUGAGCCGAAGUCUGCCGCUUAACCGACUGAGCCACCCACACGCCCUCGUUCUGUUUCUAAGGGUGGAAUCUGUUUUUACUUUAAGAUUCUUUUUUUAAUCCAGGAAUUCCUUAUUCUAAACUCUUCAAUACCUGACACAAAUAUUUAACCGUUUUUGGCAAAAUUUCAAUCUGAUGGGACUUAAUCAAGCCUACUCUGUCUACAUUGGAAAUAAGGACUUCUGUGUUUUAAGGAGCUGAAUACCUUUGGGCAGGUUGCUUAAUUUACCCAUGCUUUUUCUCUUGUUUAAGUACCUCACAGGAACAUUCUAUCUGUAACUAAUGGCUUUCAAGCAUUUUGGGUUGUAAAACACAAGAACCUUUAUUGAGACAGCCAGCUCAGUUACCCAGGGACUGAUUAUUGAGUUUGUAGAUGAUCCAGCCUCCUGUCCCCUUCUUUGCUUUGUUUUCCCUGCUCCCCCUGCUGCCUGCCCUUUGGCCAUUUCACUACUCAUUAGCACCUCCACCAGAUGGGGGGCAGGGCCAGGAACAGGGGGUCAACUCUGGUAAAAGAGUUGGUGGGAAAGAGGCGGGGAGUCAUGGCAGACAUAAGGUUUUCUGAUUUGACGGAUCCAGGCUACCCCAUACUCUAUCCUCGGGGGUAUUCCAAUGUAGCAGUUACAGUGAAAUUUGUUUUUUCACUCAGUGUUUAUUCAUUUUUAUAAUAAAUGUGACUUUAGAAGUAAGAUAAGAUGUCUUUUUAAGGAUGCUGUAGGAAGCAAAAGUCUCAGUUUUUCUGUUUCCUCAGUCUUGAUGAGCGGCUGCAAAGCAGGCUUGGGUUGGCAGGCCUUUGCCCCCUAUUCGAAUCUAGAAAAAACGCAUUAAAUCUACUCUUACGUUAGACUCGGGUUGUGGAAUAAUAGUUCUUCAAGUUCAGGUAGAGGGAGAUGGCUUUAUGAUGCUUAAAGAGUCCUGUUUGGGUGUGAAUAGAUCAAGUAGCUAAGCCUAGAUGUAUGGCCAAGGGAAGCCUUGUGAUGGUCUCAACGCAUUAACUCAGAAAACGCACUUUGAGUGUCUCUCUGAACGCGGUAUCACGCAGGAGGCUGAGCGCGUAAGGUGGACAACGCAGACAUGCAAGAAACUGCUCGGACACUGUUUUCUUCACUUGUUUGUUUGCUUCUCUCUUGUUUGGCUGGACCAUAAACCCUAGGGUUCCAAUGGCAAGACCCUUUGCUUUUGUAAUUUUCCAUUUGUCGAAGCAUUUUGCUAGAGUCUUCUGACAGUCCUGUGGAUCAAGCCCUGUGGUAGGUCCUGGGGGUGGUUACUGAGGUCAGCAGCACAGAUGGGGGCUGCCUUUGGGGCACUUACAGUCUGGGGAACCAAACAGGAAAAUCUGAUGCUGGCCCAUUAGAUUACUACCCCGGGCUUUGGGUGCUGAGAGGCUAAAUUAAAUUCCAGUUUUCAAGUGUUGUGAGCUCUUUAGAAUUCAGCAGUCCUUCCACAGAAAUGAUUGUGUUGCUUUCCGAUCCCAAGAGCACUCCAUAGCAUUCUUUGAAUAUAGCUAUAUAUAUAAUCUAUGAAUUAAUUAUACUAGGGGGCCUGGGGUUACAUUUUCUCUUUAUCACCACGGCAGAUAUCCAGGCUUACAUCAAAUGUAUGCAUACCUAUUUGAUUAAUCAAAGUAGUGAGUCAUUUUAUCUCAUUAGUGUAGGUUUAAAAAGAUAGGUACUAAAUUGUCAGAUAUAGGCUCCAGGAAGGAGGGGAAAUGGAAUCAGAAAGAAAGAUCAGAAGGAUCAGAUAGUUCUGUUGGGCCACUGCUUCAGCAUACGUUGCUCUGAUUUUUUUCUCUUUGUUCAUGCUGGUAAUUUAUGUUUACCAGAUAACUUUAAAGUCACUUGGUGUCAAAGCAAUUAAUUUAUACUCUAAGAUUUCUGGGUACUGCUACCCUUUGUAUUUAAAAAUGAGCCCUUGAAAGUAGAAAGCUUAUGUGUAUCCUUUUACUCUUAGCACCUAGGACCUAGGAGGAAAUUCCGCAAAGCGAUUAAGAGCUCAGACCGCCUGCGCCUGCGCUCAGUUAUCAGCUUAUCAAGGCAAGUGGCUCAUUGUCACCAGCUCAGUCUUCUUGUGUGUAAAAUAAAGGGUCGUAAGAGUUUCCAUUUCGUAGGAUGAUUUUGUAAGAAUUAUGUGAGAAGCCAUCCAAAAACUGUAUUCAGUCUGUGGCAGGUGUUCCCAUCGAGUUGUUGUGACGUUAGUGCGGUUGUAGGCCCGCGGCAGGACUUCAUAAAUGUUUGCUGAAUAGAAUGACAGUGUUUCUUACUGUGCAUAAAACAUAGUCUUUGCAUUUUUGAUUUCCAGUAGGAAUGUGGAUUUGAAUUGCAUUCUGUGGCUUUUUUUUUUCUUUUAAUCUGAUGAUGUGUAUUUUCAAAGAGGCUACCAAGGGGUUAAAAAUAAAAACCAUCGGCAUCAAAAGCAGUGUUUGUAAUAAUUUCAAAUUCCAGCUUAUGCCCUUCUCCUGAAGAAGUAAGCUGUGAGCUGCUAUCACCCAGGCUCGAUACAGACUCCGGAUGCCUUGCCCUAUAUUAAUGUUUCCAUUCCCUCACUCCUGGAAAUAGCGUUGUGCUUUCCAAAAUAGACUCUAGUGCUGUACCUUCAAAGAAUUUUCGUCACAGCUUUGGAUCAUCAGAAAAACAGAAGAAAGCUUUGUUGGCAAAACCUCACAGAAUAAUUUUCUCAGGUAGUUUCUAAUUUUUUCUACAGAAACUUCUUUUAAUUGCCUGUUUCCCAUUUCCUUUGCUCCCAAUUUUUAGUGUUAACAUGGAAAUAAACAAAAGGGGGAAAUCGGUUAAUAACUAUUUGUCUCUUUGACUUCUUUCAGGGGCAUUCUGAAGCACUUAAAAGGACACACAAAGCAGUGGGGUUUACAAUUAAGGGUUCAUUGGGGGGGCGGGGGGGGCCGGCAAGUGGAAAUCUAAUACCCUAGGUUUUACAUCACUAAAGGGGUAAGGACUUCACAGUCAAAAUAACAAAGGUAGCAAUGUCACAUAACUUAGAAGUUUAAGCAUUAACAUUACCAAUAAAGGAAGUGCAGGUCUGCCAAGUUUCCAGAGGAUCCAAAUAUUUUUGGUCUUGAGGGAGCACCCUAUUACAGGAACCACCAAAGCCCAGGGAGGUGAGAGAAUUACCCUAUGUGGAGGAACAGGGAAUCGUAAGAUUAUAGCUGAUACUGUCCUAUAAAGUACCGUUUGCUUUGCAGUCUUUUAUCACUCACUGUUCCAAAGGAUUCUGAUGUCAGAGAAGACAUAGACCAGUGUGUGUCAGAAGCUGACCCUAGAGUAUAGUUUCCUUAUUACAGAAUCUGUCCCUACAUUUUCUUUCCUGCCAUUAUUCUCUUGAACGGCCCAACUUCAGUGUUCUUUAAAUUCCCUAAUGGCAAUUGACGAAGCAUCGCUAUCAGCUGAUAGAUCCGGCAUGGAGUUGGAAGGUAUGAACUUGACCAUCUCUGUGCUCCCUCCAACACCCCCACCCUCACCCCUCCACACAUCCCUCACACACACACCCCCACCCCCCGCCUGUUCUCUGGACACCGACAUUCCAUGGGUAGUACUGUUCUUGACGCUGGGUGUGCGACUUGGGAGUUUAUUGGAAAGAAUGGAAAGACAAUGUGUGAAAAUACUGUCCAUCCUGGGACAUUUUCAUUCUCCUGUGCUCUUAUUAAAUUGUAAAUUUCUUGUUUAGGAGUCAGUCAAGUUUGACUUUACAUUCUUUAUUCCCUUUUCCUGUCUUUGACCCAUAUAUUUCCUAUAUGUGUUGGAUAAAAAUGAACUCAUUCCCAACCCGAAUUCACCCUCUUGGAAUUCCUUUCAUAGCGAUGGGCUAGAGUUUAACAAUGUUCUGUGUAGAUUUGCCAUGUAUGGUGUGCUCAUUUCCAGGCUGUCAAACCAAGGCGAUGGUGGGUCCUAGCUUUCUAUUAGUCAUUUUCUUCUUCCAGGGGUGGUCUCCUUUUUUGUGAUACUAAAAUUUAUCCAUGAAUCAGUCAGGCUUAGGAUUUUGUGUGUUGCUUUACAUCCUGUUUGGACAAUUGAUGGGGUACACAGAAACCAUUUAAACUUUGACAUUUUCUAAACAAUAAAAUGGUAACUUUCACCUAACACAUAGUCUUAAUCCGCUGGGCCGUUAAAUCACUAAUCUCAGUGGACAUCAACCGGGAUCCUGUUCAGACGUUAGCACCUAUGAGAACAAAACGGCUCUAUUGUCUAACCUGCAUUGCGGAAACCUCUUAGGUGUUUCUCAGUCUUCACAGGGAAACUAAUUCGUGCCAUGUGGACUAAGUACCACAUCGUUUCCUGCUAUGGUAAAGCAAGGGAGGCUUUUGUGUUCAUUACGUACGUUAUGGGAUUAAUAGGAUGUUCAUUGUACCUAGAUUGUAGAGUUUGAGGGCACUUGGCCACACCUGAUCUCAGUGUGAAGAAUUCCCUUGUGACUGAAUUUGGUUUUUGUUAUUUUGGUAAAAAAAAGAGUUUUCUGCCCAGGAUUAUUAUAAUGCGGUAUCUAUUCAUCAUUGCUCUUUCCUAUUCUUUUAAGUAAUUCUGUUACAAAAAAUUUAGUUCCCCACCCCCCAUUUGAGAAGCUGACAUUUUCUAUCCUUAAGGCAAAUACAACUUUUAAAAUUUGUGUGACAAUUUAGGUGUCUUACGUUGAGGCUUUUUUCUUUUUAUAAAAUGUUUGAGACCGAGAAGACGUUUCUAGUGGUUUACUUACAAUCUCAAAGCUACCUUUGGUAGAAAAAUCUCUUUAUACAUGAGAAAAAGCUGUCUAGCGAGAUUUCCUGAGUACUCUUGGUGACACGAUGCCUGCCUGUGACAAGAAGGUCUUAUAUUCAACCUAAAUUUCUCCUUAUACGGUUUUCAGUCCAUUUCCUCUUGUGUUGUUCUUAGCGGUGACAGAGAACCUCUGGCAUGUCCUUCUUCAAAAUAAUUCUUCCGACUCGGGGCAGUGUAAAGUGCACACACACUUUGGGUCCUAGCAGAUCCGGGUUUGAGUCUGAGCCUCAGCACUGACCAGCCUUCAGCCACUGUUGCCUCUCUGAGUCUAAACGGCUUCUCAUGUAAAACACAGCUGAUAAUCCCUCCCUUGCAUUUUAGCUCCAAUGUCUAGUUCCUAGUAAAUGCUCAAAAUACAGUGCCUUGUAUCAUCUGUGUUAGAACCUGUGAGAAUUUAGUAAGUCAGCUUUUUCUUUUCCCUGGUAACAUUCCCAGAUAUUUCUAACUUGGUCCUGUUUUUCUAACCUACUAAUCUCAGUUCGAAAGGAGACUUCAGUUGGUGUUGGAGAUGCAACACUAGGUUUGCAACGAAGGUCUUAUCUGACUUGCUUUCUGACUUAAUAAAUUUGUGGCUCUAUGUCCUUAGGUAAGCCACUUAACAUCCUUGAGCUGGUUUGCUCAUAGGUAAUCUGGGGAUGACAAUUAUAUCUUCCGCGGCUUCCUCUCGGGGUUGUCGUGAGGAUAACGUAAGGAAGUAAUUUGUGGGCCACGACGCACCGUACAGGCAUAAGGUGAUAGCGGUAAAUAUAAUCGGCAAUUAAAAUUUAACACUUUCCAAUCGGUUGAAUGAAAUUGCUUAUUGUUCAUAAAACUUCUCAUACUUAGGUCACCGACUUCAGCCUCACCCUUGUCCUACGUAGCAAUUAUACUCUUGUUCUAUUUCUGUUUUCAUCUGCUCUUACAGUUGGAAGGCUAAACCAGAUAACUCUAAGAUGUAUGAUGACACAUAUGAAAAGAGUUCCAACAUGAAACGAUUGAGCUUGUGUGUCGAGAGGGUGAGUCAAUAAGGAGUGUCGGGUGAGGUUCAGAGGGGGCCAGGUGAUCAAAGGCGUGAAUGAAGGGCUGAAAUGACACAGGAGAAGUGGAUGAGCAGGAAAGAUGUCCAAGAUGAUGGGCAUUAGAGGAGAGGGUUAUAGACCCGUGUCUCCUAAGGUAGUCACUGCCGAGUUUCAAACAGAAGAAUGGCGUGCUCGAAAAAUACCUGAAUGAGAAGGGAACUUCGGGACACUGGCGAUCGCUUCCAGUGGAAGUGACUUGGGACGUUGCAGUGAUCCCAAGCGGUAGAGCACAACCCAUUUCUGCAGAGAUACAAUCUAAGGAGGAGGGGUGGUCUGGCAGACUGACCUGUGGGGAGCCGAGGAUGUGGUGUUGGAGGAAACCAGCAGGAAAGCCAAGUGCCUCAGCUGUGAGGGCCCGAGCCAUGAGGACUGUCUCCAAGUGCUCAAAUUGGAGGGUAAGAAAGUAGAGUGGACACAGUAAUAUUUAAAUAGCUAUUUAUCUGUAUUGUCUUUUUUUUUUAAAUUUUUUUAACAUUUAUUCAUUUUUGAGAGUGAGAGAGAUAGAGCAUGAGCAGGGGAGAGGGGCAGAGAGAGAGGGAGACCCAGAAUCUGAAGCAGGCUCCAGGCUCUGAGCUGUCAGCCCAGAGCCCGACGCGGGGCUUGAACUCAUGGAGUGUGAGAUCACGACCUGAGCCGAGGUCAGACGCUUAACCGACUGAGCCACCCAGGCGCCCCUGUAUUGCCUUUUCAAAAAAAAUCUAUUGAAUAUACAGUUAGCCUUUGUAGAAGCAAGAAGCUUUCCCCCAUAUUUGUAUCAUACCAGUUUUUCAUUUUGUGACCUCAUUUCAGUUUGGUUUCGUUUUGUGUUUAAUUAUGGUGCUGAAAGUCCUCAAGUUCGGGUGGUAGAGAGUAGGUUUUUGUGAAACAUCCCUGUUGAUUAGGUUACUUAUUUCUAUAUUCCAGUAAAACCAGCCGCAGUGACCCAGCUGUCCAUUUGGGACUUGUCGAUGCUGCUUUCCUGGGGCCCUUUCCUCCAUGGCUGUCUGUGACCUUAGCCAUUGAAUCAUGUAAUCGUUUUUGGCCUCCUAAGUCAAUGAUUCUGAGUGGGCAGAGUGGUAGUGUGAUGUCAUGUCUGGGGCAUGAGCCUGUACCCUCACCGCACAUGGGUCCCCACCCUUCCUGGUCUAGGCAGCUCAAUACACAGUGCUUGGCACAUAGUGAGCGCUCAAUAAAUUUAGUUGCUUUUCCUGUCUCUCUCUGGACCUCAGAGAGGAAUAUCCAAAUUUGAGAACACCACCAUGGUGUUAGGUUCCCCAAGUAAAAUCCAUAGUGAAAGCAGAGGCAGAUGUGUGGGAAUGCACUUCCAGACUCCAGUCAAUCUACAAAAGACGAUUACACUGGGUUUUACGGCGAGGCUUCCCAUGCUCACGAAUCAUAAUAAAAUCUCUUACGGGAUUAAUGACUUUGAACCGAAUGCAAAAUUGAUAAACUAUGUGUGAUAUUGUGACAUUUGAAAGUAUUCAGUAUGAAAAAUAGCCAAUGGGGGUACAUAUUUAGAGACACUUUGUGUUCUGCACCAACGUUGUUUGGAUUUUAUUGACCUCUCUUCUUCCCUGCUAAGAAAGAUCAGAAGGAUGGCCCUCCACAUUGUUUCCAAAUUCCUAGAUAGGAAAAACGUGAAACUAGAAAGGGACCUUUUGAUAACCUUACGCAUUUGUAUUUUUUUUUAAUAAAAAAAGCUUCUUUCUUGCCCUUUCUCUGGGAGAGAGAAAAAAUUAGACUCCCUUCCUUUCUCCCUUUCUCCUCUACUCCAAAUUCCAGAAAAUGAACCUUUCUUUUGAAUUCAGAUCAUCGUAGAUUCGUUUGCGGUAGUAGAAAUUGUACUGAACAAUCCCUUGUAUACUUCGCCCAUUUCCGCCUUCACCCCCAUGGAGAUGUUUUGUAAAACUAUAGUACAGAAUCCCAGCGAGGAUUUUGCAUGAAUACAUUCCACCCGUUGCGUUCACAUAUUCCCUUUUUUAUGUGUCCUCACUUGUGUGUGUGUGUGUAUGUGUGUGUAUUAAGUUCUAUACAAUUUUACCACCUGUGGAGAUUCAUGCAUGACCGCCUGAGAUAUUCUCUUCUAAGAUUGCACGGUGCUUGAGAGUUUUCAGCACAUCCUGUGAUGACAGACAUGAAGUGUCUUCUCUUCUAAGUACGCAAAAACUGUGUGGCUGUAGGAAGGUGGGGAGUGGAAAUCUGGCCGAUGGUUCCUGUCUGUGGCUCUUCAGUUACUCUUUCACAUUCCCUCAUUAGAAAAGGCCGGCUGGCCCAGCCAAAAUCAUAGGUGGGCUUGGCACACAGCUAACUAUUUGCCUGGAGUAACUUAUACUUUUGUAUUAUGUUAAGAGUUCUGCCAAUUUCAGAGGCCAGGAAGCAAAGAGUUGGCCUAGUGGUGUAACACACCUGCUUUUCCCAAGGCCACGUACAACAACAGGCUGAUUUGAGUAUGUGUUUGCCCUCCUGGGAUAUAUUGAAACAGGUCUCCAGAGUCCUCGAGUUGUGGAUACAUACUUUUCUCCCUCUAGAAAUCCAUUUCACACGGAUUUUGAAUGUCCAUGAGAACAGAUAUUCAUUGGGGAAAUGUGCUGUUAAUUGUACUUUGGCUAUCUGGCCUGGUCUCCAGGAUGAACAGCCAUAGAAUCCUGUUAUCUUGAGACCUGUAAGGAUAUCCACAUUUGAGAAUGCCACAAUACCAUUAGAUCGCCCAAUUAAAAAAAAAAAUUGCAAAUGGCUGUCAUACACGUACAUGCACACACACACACACACACACACACACACACACACCACAAAGUUGUGCUGAAAUGCAAACACUGGCACAUGGCCCAGCUGCCCCACCAGCUAAGUAUCUCAAUCUUACGCUCCAGUCUGAGAAAAAACCAGAUUUGCAAAUAGUUCAACGUGUGACUAUUACAAUUUGAGAACGACAAAGAUCUGUCAACGUUCGACUAGUCACUCCUGGAAUCCGAGUGUUUGAUGAGAUGACCACGUUUAGGAUGAUGAUGGUGUUUGGGCAUAACAACCCGUGAACAACAAGCUGUAAGUGUAAUCACUAUGAAUCCUUGUAGAGAACAGGUUUAGUAUAUUUGCUACUGUUCUAUCAAAUCCCGAAUCCCGAUUAUACCGUAGCCUAUAAAGAAAGCACUUCUCUUCCUCUUUGGGCUAAUACUUCUGCUACUUGGGACCAAUGCUUUAAAACUUCAUGAUUUACAAGUGACAUUCUUUGUUGGUAACAAUUAUUUAAAUGAUUUAAAUAAUCCAAGCUUGCUUUGAAAUCAACUGGAGACAUUUUGAGAAUCUUGGAAGUUUAGAAAAAAACUGUAUAUUAAGAAAACUCUGUGGAAGAGUAUCAGAAGAGGUUGCUCUUACUUCCAUAACAUACUUCUCUGGGCCUUGACUUGAUCCAAAUAAACGUGGUCAGACUGCUGGCGUGCCAUGGAAGUGGCAAAUGGAAGCCUACAGUUCUGCUUCCUGUGUCCUGUUUUCUGGCACCGAGGCCUUGUCUAAGCUAUGCCAAAAUAGUGAUUUCUUUUUUGUCGAUACAGAACUGUUGGUCCGCUUGGUGCUUGAUCUGCCCAAGACUUAGUUUAGAGAUUAUGUGGUUGAAUUCUCUCAUAUUCUGCAGGUAACAAAAUGAAGGUUGAGAGCAAUGAAAUGUCCGGUUCAAGGUCACACAGCCUCAUCAGCUAGGACAAGAAUCAGGUUUCCUGAUGCCCAGUCCAUUGCUUUUCCACUUUAGGGAGCAGGUUCCUGUCACCCCACCAGUCUUUCUCGGUUUUCCAUUUGUAACAUUGGCCUUUCUUCUGAUGAACCUCUUCCUUUGGAUCCUGUAAGAGCUUCCUGGGGCUGCUGUGAAAAAGUACCUUGAACCUGGGUGUCUUAACACAACAGAAAUGUAUUCUCUAACAGUUCUGGAAACUGAAGGGCCUGAGAUCAAGGUGUUAGCAGGGACACGCUGUCUCUGGAGGCUCAGAGGAGAAUCUGUUCCAUGCCUUUCCCUUGGCUUCUGGUGUUGCUUGAUGCUUCUCGACGUUCCUUGGCUUUGAAUGCAUCAUUCCAGUCUCUACCUCUGUUGUCAGAUGAUAUCUUCCUGUGUGUCUGUAUGUCUCCUUUUCUUUAAAAAGGACUCCUGUCCUAUUUGAUUAGGGCCUAUCCUAAUGACCUCAUCUUAACUUGAUUACGUCUGCAAAGACCCUAUUUCCAAAUAAGGCCAUAGACACACAGGGAGUUAGGACUUCAACAUUUUGGGGUGGUGGGGGGAAGGGGCACAAUUUACCCCAUGGCAGCUCUCUUUAGCUCCAAAACUAUUUUUAGAACCAGGCAGGUAUUUGUAACACACUAUGAGAACCUGCAAAGAAUUUCAUUACAUGUAAGGCAUCAUAUCCAACAUUGGUAGUUUGUUACAAUAACACAUUGAAAAGAUUUAUAGACUGCUUUGGGUGUGAUUUUUGGACUAAUUCUCUGCUUUGAAACCAUUUGUUGGGCUCUGUUUAUUUAAAGGAGGGAGUGAAUAGACCUGAAAACACCUAAUUUUCAUUUUCAUCUUAGCUUGGAAACCAGUAAUUUUUUUUUUUUUUGAGAAUUGAAAACUGUAUCACAGAACACGAACACUAUAUUUAUCAUUUUGAUCUUCAGUUAUUAGAUGCUUGUCUGUGUGCUAAGCCUCCCACCAAGAUGAGAAAAAAAACAAAACCCGAACUUAAUAUUGUUGUACUAAUGAAGUCUAGAACCAAUGUUUGCUAUAUGAUAUUUAAUGGUAUGUGUCCAGUUUUUAAGUGAAACUCAGAAGGAAAGAAAUCCUAUUCUCAACUGUAUGCAUUCCCCUAAAUCUCCCAGUUGGAUGCAAUAAUUUGCAUUCAUAAACAAGCUUCUUGACCUCAUUUCCUUUGAUCAGCUUGGGAGGAAAUGCCCGUAUAACUUUAAUUUAUACCUUUCUUAAAAAUAUUUUUUAACCAAGCACAGGGAAUGGAUGCCGUGGCCUUUAUUAACUUUUAUGUAUGUGAUUCCAAAUAUCCCUUUAAAGUAAUAUCUUUUAGCUUCAAAUAUACUUCUUCCCAUAAGGCUGGUCCCCAUUUCCUAUAAUCUUACAGACCUAGGAGAACAAUAUUUUCCCUUCUGCCGUUUUGAUAAUUACGUCCUCUGUGCUCAGUGGUGGCCUAUUAACUAACAUGAAUACCGUAGUCUUACAAAAUAGCCUCAAAUUUCCAUAUAUUGGAACUGUGAGAAUUUUCUGUAAUGGUGCUUUCGCAAUAAUGAUGGAGGUGCAGGUAUUUCCUGAGGAUUAAUGACCAGCUGGGAGGAACCGGUGGCCCUUGGCUCUGCCUCCCGGCCAGCCAUUAAUUCCAAGGAAAUGUCUUUUGCUAAGGUCGUUAUUGCUGUUACGAGCUUAAAAUGGAAAAACAUAAUAGGCGUAUGAGUUGUUUUUAUGGGUUGAUGCCGUUUCCAAUGGUAUGUACUAAUUCGAGAAAAUAAAUGUGUGUCCACGCAAUAGCAAGUCAGAUUGUUGGAAUCAUCCCUCAGUAUUCCAUAUGUUUUGUGACUGACUUUAUAGCUCUCUACCUUUACCACAGAGAAAAUGAAAGAAAGAAAGAGCAUCUGACUCAAGUAAUUCUUACCUUGGUCCAAGGCUUGAAAGUGUUGCAUGCAGUGACCUAUUCGGAAACACCAGUUUCUUUUAUCAACCUCAAAUAAUAUUCGUGUUUAAUGUGUGUUGUGAAGUGAAAAAAAGGAAUUUGUUUUCCAUGUUUGUGAUACUGCUUUUUCUUUUUUUUUUUUUUUUAAUUUAUUUAUUCAACGUUUAUUUAUUUUUGGGACAGAGAGAGACAGAGCAUGAACGGGGGAGGGGCAGAGAGAGAGGGAGACACAGAAUCGGAAACAGGCUCCAGGCUCUGAGCCGUCAGCCCAGAGCCUGACUCGGGGCUCGAACUCACAGACCGCGAGAUCGUGACCUGGGUGAAGUCGGACGCCUAACCGACUGCGCCACCCAGGCGCCCCGGUACUGCUUUUUCUGGUAGAAUAAGGUGCUGCAGCCCUGUAACCCUGUAAUAAUUUUUUUCUGUGCUUCUUUGGUUUUUCCCUGUCACUUGUUUGACAGGCAGCCUUAUGUUUAUGCUUUUCCACGCUGAAUCCAUGAUUCAGUUCAUCAAUUAGCAAUUGAGCACCACGCAGCUUAAUCAUUCAACAUUUCGGGGGAGUACAUGUAUUAAAUGCUGCAAUAAUGGGAGACCCUUUGACACAAAACACACAUGCACACAGAACCCCCAGGAAUGAAGCCAGAGUAUCAGAGUGUUGCCCAUUAUGCUCCUUUCUGAUUCUUGUAACAAGAGAGUCCUUUUGCAUUUUGGCUUCCCAUCUUAAUCAACCGGCCUGUUCCAUUAUUUUUUAUCUAAAUUACUAACGAAGUUAAUCUAGAAACAUUCUUAGAAGUCAUAAAAGGGAAAUCUUGACAGUCCUGGAAUAUCGCCACGCUUGACUUUGUGGAGAGACAUGUGGACUGUGUCACCCAGGCAUGGCGCCCGUGGACCUUUUGUAUCUAUAAUACCAGUUAGUGACUCCGUGUUUAUCAAGCUGCAGGUAGAGGCCAUGGUUGGUGGAGGAUUUGAAACGUUACAGGACACAGAUCUGUACUUAAAGGAAUCAAGCUAAGAAAUCUCAUCCUGUCUGGCCCUCAAAUUCUUAAUCUCCCUUGUUUCCUUCUUCAUCAUAUUCUCCUACAGCCUCCAGGUAGGGGUUCACAUUGUUGAACUCAUUUGCAGCCAGAUUUCUUUUCUUUUUUUCUUUUUUUUUUUUUUUAAUUUUUUUUUUUUUUCAACGUUUAUUUUUGGGACAGAGAGAGACAGAGCAUGAACGGGGGAGGGGCAGAGAGCGAGGGAGACACAGAAUCGGAAACAGGCUCCAGGCUCUGAGCCGUCAGCCCAGAGCCUGAUGCGGGGCUCGAACUCACGGACCGCGAGAUCGUGACCUUGCAGCCAGAUUUCUUGAGCCUGCUUUGCAAAGGUCUUCAAGUGUCCCCAGCCUGCUUCUCCGUUCCCUCUCCUCGGUUGACAUCCAUGAAAAGCUGAGAUGCCGCUUUGCCUCUCAGGCCCACCCCUCUGCUUUCUUUCCCUGUCGUUGCAGGUGCUGGGCUUCUCCCAGUUCUUCUAGAGCAACCGUCCAGUAGAACUUCCUGUGAUGAUGGAAAUGUUCUGUACUUAUGGCAUCCAGUAAGGUAGCCACUAGCCACGUGCGGCUAUUUGAACACUUGAAGUGUGGCUGGUGCGUGAGGAACUGAAUAUUUGGGUUUAUUUCACCUGAAUGAAUUUGAACUUGAAUAGCUGACUGUGGCUAGUGGCUACUGUAUAGGAUAGCAGUCACCUUUGGUUCCAUGAUGUCUCUGCCUUCCCUCCAUGCCUAUCCUUUUUACCUUUAGAAUUUUUUUUUAACGUUUUUUUUUUUUAUUUUUAUUUUUUUAUUUUUGAGACAGAGAGAAACAGAGCAUGAACGGGGAGGGGCAGAGAGAGAGGAGACACAGAAUCGGAAGCAGGCUCCAGGCUCUGAGCCAUCAGCCCAGAGCCCGACGUGGGGCUCGAACUCACGGACCGUGAGAUCGUGACCUGAGCUGAAGUCAGAUGCUUAACUGACUGAGCCACCCAGGCGCCCCUCCUUUUUACCUUUAUAGUACUUUCUCUCGAUUUCAUUUUAACUCCCACUUGCCCCUGGAGGAGACCUUAAUGCCCUUCAACUCAAGUUUUGCCACAUUCUGCCUUUGGUCUCUUGCCUAGUAGUACAAAAAUCAAAUAGCUAUGACACGCAAGCCACUAUGCUUGGACCUGGAAGAAGUUCAGAGAGAAAGAAAACCUAUUCGUUGUCCUCAAAGAGCUUACAGAAUAGAAAGAACCGGGGUUUUCUGGGUGAUAGUGAGCAGAGGAUUCAUGGUUCAGCAAUAGCCCUGACUAAGUCCUAUGGGGACUUUCCUGAGUUUAUGUCUUUGAGAUGGGAGGUAUUGCAAAAACAUAUCUGAUUUUAUUUCUCGAGGGGUUGACUUUCAAACCGUUGUUUUUAAGUUUAUUUCUGAGAGAGAAAGAGAGUGAGCGUGUGCGUGCACACCCACGGGGGAGAGAGGUGGGGCAGAGAGAGAAUCCCAAGUGGGCUCCACCCUCAGCGUGGAGCCCAACUCGGGGCUAGAUCUCAUGACCCUGGGAUCAUGACGUGAUACGAAAUCGAGAGUCGGAGCUUAACCAACUGAGAUCCAGGCACCCCAACUUUCAAAUCAUUUCUAAAUAAGGUGCUUCAUAUAGUAUAAAACUAUUAUCUCUUAAAAUGCCACACUAGUGCCCCAUAAUUAAGAUGAUCGUAUGUCAUGUUUUUUUCAGGACAGUCCCAGUUUAUGCCUGUGUUUCAGUGUAAUUACCAAUAGCAUCCUCUUUUGCUUUCCAAAGUGCCCCAUUUGGGGAAGAUAAAUGCUAUGGUCACCUUCCCUACAUUCGGCCUUAAGUUCCCACAUGCACACCUUGUACUUACCCCAAUCUUGUUAAAUUUGUGUUCCUUGGCCACUUCCAGAUUAUUGUUUCAGGUCAUUUCUGUAUCAGAUCAUUCUUCUGUUCAUAAACCGUCAGGGGCUCCUCAUUAGUGACUGAAUAAAUUAUAAAUUUUCCAGGUUCCAUAGAUAAGACUGUUAGGCUCUCUGUUUACCAUUUUCUUCACAUACAUGUAGCCAAGCAGGUCAAUUUCCUAUUCCGUCAAUAGGACAUUUUCUCACCUUGACUUUUCCCUGGAAUUUCUUUCUCCCGCGUUCAAUGCAUAAAAUCUUCUUUAACCUUCAAAGUCCAGUUUUGACACCAGUUUUGUUUUUGUUUUGUUUUGUUUUGUUUUGUUUUGUUUUGUUUUGAAAUAGCUCCCGACUCCCUUAGUCAGAUGCAGGCUGUCUCACCCCUGGAACGUGAGCACAUGUUAUCAACGCCUUGCUUAUAGCAGUAUUCAUUGUCUCUCGUACUGAUAGUUUUUGACCAUUUUUUUUUAUCUUUGUUUAUCAGUUUUGUAAACUCUUUGAGCAUAUUCUUCAAAGCUGAGGACAGUAGUAGACAGUAGCUGCUUAAUAUACAUUUGUUGAAUGAAGGGAAAAAAAAGGUGUAGUUACGUUACUUAGGUCAUUCCCACAAGAUGAUGUCUUAAAGCAGUAAUUGCAAGCUUUUUUUUUAUUUUAAAGUAUUUACACAGUAUUAUGUCAUUAAUUACUGUACCCUGAAGAAAUGCUGUUGCUGCUAAUCUCUUGGAUCCAAUACUUGGAGACAUAAAUAUAAGUGACAUGAGCUCUGCUACUGCAUUCAGUGAGAUUACAAAAUACAAAGUACACUUAGAAGUAGAUGCUGGAAAAAUAACUUCAACGAUAGCAAAUGUAGAAAGUCUUGCUAGGGUUACUUCAGGGACAGGGUGCCUGGCUGGCUCAAUCUGUACAGCACGCGACUCUUGAUCUUGGGGUUGUAAGUUCAAGCCGCAUGGUGGAUGUAGAGAUUACCUAAAAAUAAAAGUAAAAUCUUUUAGAAAAGUCGGGGGGGGGGAUUACUUCAGGACACAGUCUAAGGGGAAGCUGCCAAGCUGGUAUUGAUAACAUGGCGGCACGUUCUUUCCACAAUUGGAAAGAAUGGUGUCUAUUAUGGGGAAUUUUCCUCCAAAUAAAAACCAAAAAACAAUGCGUUAGUGAUUGAUUUCUUUUUUUUAGUUUUUAAACAAAGACUUUAUAAUAAUAGUUUCAGCUUCACAGCAAAAUUAAGAAGAAGGUGCAGAGAUUUCCCGUAUAUUUCCUUCCUCACACAUGCAUAGCCUCCCCCGUUAUCAAAGCCUCCACCAAGAGUGAUUGAUUUU